rnacentral:lncRNA from 1 species
GUUCCUGACUGAUGCCUCACCCUCUGCUUCCUCCACACACCUAUUGGGCUACACUGACCCAGCUCAAUAUGCCAUGAUGUUCUGAGGUGGCCUUUACAAUAUCCAGAGCAUCCUCCAGAUCUCAAGCUUCACAGGGAAGGCUUUACUGAAAGCAGCCAACACUUCAAGAAAGUUGAAGAGGUGCUAGACUUCUUUGUACUCAACAUCAGUUGAGAACUUGUCUCCGUACUUCAAACUUGAGGCUACACGGAGUCAGUAGCAGUGGUGAAGGUCCACUCCCUCCCGAAUGCAGAAAAUGCAUACUGCUUGGAUAAGGAAGAAUAGAAGCAACUUUCUAUUACAAAUACAAUUUCUGAGAGAUGUAAUUUACUUUAAAAAUAAAAAGUCUGAUGGCAACAAAUGUGAAAUGGAAUCAGUGUUCUAGUGAAUUAUUUAGAAUGAAAAAAAAAAAAAAAAAG